CUUGGAUCCCAGCUGCCAAGUCAGGAGGAAGCCAUGGCCACCCAGGAAGGCCCCAGCAAUGUGAAAGAGUCUCAAAAACAUAAUAAUGAAGAAAUGAAACUAUACACAUAAGACUAUGAAGAGUAUAAUUUCCCUGGUGAAAUUCUGAAAGAGGAAAGACAUUCUUUGUUCUGAAAACAUCAAACCAUGGAGAACAGCCUUUGUGAAGAUGAGGGUGAAGUUGAAUGUGUGGGGCCAAGGCACCUCCUGGGAUGGUGUCAUGUUCUACAUCUUGAAGAGGUUUUGUCUUACAUAGGAUUUGCCACCUUGGGGGACCUCCUUUGUCUCUGUCCCUUCAUGCCAUGAACUCCCAGGCACAGGUUCUGCCCCAGAAAUGGAGGCUAAAGCUCCUUGCCUGAGACUGAGCCAAUUGGUCCCACCUGGGGUUCAGCUGAGGAAGCCUCUCCCCAGCAGCUACCUCACUGCAGGAUGAUGCUCUAAUGUCCACCUAUGUGAGACCUCCUUUCCCGGAGAAAAGAACAAGGAAAUCUACAUCAAAGGUGAUGUAAGCCCCAUCACGGCAAGAGGCUGAGCUGGCUGCAUGUGCCAGGCAGUGAGGUGAAUGGGGACCAGUUGCCUUUGAGAAGUGAGGAGGGGGCAGACACAUGGGCUUUAGAGAAGGGAGAGGUCUGCAGGGCAGAAAGUGAUUUCCUAAAAGUAACAGGACUUGAGUUGGGCCUUCCUGGUUGGUGAGUGCAUUAUAUGAUAGUUUGAUGAUUCCAGGCCACUUAUGAGAGGUCCUUCACUCCAUAAUGGUGGCAGGCCCAGCUACGCUGCUCACUGAUGCGAGAUUCACCUGAAAUUCUCACUGUAGUCCUCUGGGGAGUCUCAGAGUGGACACCAGGACGUUCGUA
rnacentral:lncRNA from 13 species